rnacentral:rRNA from 1 species
UGGGGAAUAUUGGACAAUGGGGGAAACCCUGAUCCAGCAAUGCCGCGUGAGUGAAGAAGGCCUUAGGGUUGUAAAGCUCUUUCGCCCGCGAAGAUAAUGACGGUAGCGGGAGAAGAAGCCCCGGCUAACUCCGUGCCAGCAGCCGCGGUAAUACGGAGGGGGCUAGCGUUGUUCGGAAUUACUGGGCGUAAAGCGUACGUAGGCGGAUGCGCAAGUUGGGGGUGAAAUCCCGGGGCUUAACCUCGGAAUUGCCCUCAAAACUGCACGUCUUGAGACCGAGAGAGGUAAGGGGAAUUCCUAGUGUAGAGGUGAAAUUCGUAGAUAUUAGGAAGAACACCAGUUGCGAAGGCGGUCUCUUGGUCCGACACUGACGCUGAGGCGCGAAAGCGUGGGGAGCAAACA